rnacentral:rRNA from 1 species
CCUACGGGUGGCAGCAGUGAGGAAUAUUGGUCAAUGGGCGCGAGCCUGAACCAGCCUAGUAGCGUGAAGGAUGACUGCCCUACGGGUUGUAAACUUCUUUUAUAAAGGAAUAAAGUGAGUCACGUGUGCCUUUUUGUAUGUACUUUAUGAAUAAGGAUCGGCUAACUCCGUGCCAGCAGCCGCGGUAAUACGGAGGAUCCGGGCGUUAUCCGGAUUUAUUGGGUUUAAAGGGAGCGUAGGUGGGUUGUUAAGUCAGUUGUGAAAGGUUGGGGCUCAACCCUAAAAUUGCAAUUGAUACUGGCAGUCUUGAGUACAGUGGAGGUAGGCGGAAUUCGUGGUGUAGCGGUGAAAUGCUUAGAUAUGACGAAGAACUCCGAUUGCGAAGGCAGCUUACUAAACUGCCACUGACAUUGAUGCUCGAAAGUGUGGGUAUCAAACAGGAUUAGAUACCCUAGUAGUC